GGUGCUUUGGGACGCUCUGUGCGCCUGGGCAUUGUUGUCAGGCGGGGAACAUGGCCGCGCCCAGGUCGCGCUUCCCCACGGGGUGCGCCAUGUUGGAGGAGUGUUCGUUCCGUACCGAGAAUGAGGAAACCUCUACACUCGCAGAGCGGAGCGGUGGAGCUGUCUCACAGAACCUGAGGGGACUUUUCUUAGAUCUUCACCUUGAGAACCUGAUUUGGUUCCUGUAAGCAAAAUCCAUGAAAAUGUGAAGCCUUCCCAAGACUGGACCCCCAGAAGUUUCUUCCUCUCAAGCUAAUCCAUACUCAGCCUCCAGCAAUUUGUCAAAAUUACCAGUGAAUGUCCUACGACCUUAUGACUCCAAUGGCUUCUGCUCCAGGUAAGGUAAGCUGAUCUUGGCUGUGAUUCUCUGUAUUUGCUUGUCUCUCCAGAUUUGGGGGUGACAGUUUGCCCUAUAAUCUCAAUUCUCUGUAGAGUCUAUGAGAAGUCAUUGAUUUUUAGUUUGUUCAGCUUCUUUCUUGUUGUAAGGAUGACAGUGACAACUUCUAAGCUCUUAAUAUGUCAGAGCUGAAACUGGAAGUCUGUAUGCACUUUUCAAAACUCAUCAAAUGGUGCAUUUUCCUGUAUGUAAAUUUUUCUUUACAAAUGUAAACAAAUACUGAACUCUAGUUUAUGAUAUGCAUGUUGAAGUUUUUAGGGGUCAUGUGUGCUGAUGACUGUAACAUAUAUUGAAAUGCAUCAAAAAAAGAAAAUGACUUGAUGAGUGGAGAAAAGGAUGCAUAAAUGGAUAGAUAUGAGAUAAAACAAAUAUAAUAAAGUGUGUUUUUUGUGCAUGCUCACUUUAAAAUUCUUUCAACUUUUCUUUAUGUCUGGAAAUGUUAUAAUAAAAUGUUAGAAUGAAUGUAUCAUACUAUAUAUAAUUGUUUGCGAUUUAUAUUUUUUCACAUAACAUUCCUCAUAUUGUUGGGUAUCAAUGUUGUUUCUUCAUUUUAAUGCCUUUGGUGAGCAUCUGAUUUGUUUCUGGGCUUUGUGUUGUGAACAGGCUUUCAUGAAUGUCCUUUUACAUCUUUUCUGGGGCACGUGGGCAAGAGGGUCUCUUGGGGAUAAUCCUAGGAGUGGACUCACUGUGUGGUGAGGGAUGGAAAUGUCCAAUUGUAGAAGGGAAUGCCAAACUGUUUUUCAAAAUGGUUUCACUAAUUUACACUCCCACCAACAGUGUAUAAGAGAUCUUAUAAAGCCACACUUUCGCCAACAUUUAGGCUUGCCCAACUGCUUUAUUUUUGCCAAACCAAAGGGUGUAAGAUGAUAUCUCAUUGUGGUCUCAAUGUGCAUUUCCCUAACCACUAAUAAUUUGCUAAUUACUUUGUGAAUUUCUGUUUUAACUUUUACUUACUUCCUUUGUGGAUAUUUUGUUUUCCUUUCCUACAGACUGUACUAAAAUAUUAAAUAAUUGGCUUCAGUCUUUCUUGUUUAGUAAUAAAUUCAUUUUAUGAUAUAAAUCAUCUUAAGUAUAUCACUUUUCCCAUCGCAUAGGUGUUAUGUGUAGUGCUCUCAUGCUCUCAUAGUUCUAAGUAGUUGAUAAUCCAUUUUAAUUUCCUCCUUAACCCCAAUAUUAAUUAUAUGUGAGUGCUUUUACUAUCCAGGCAUUUGAAGUUUUUGUUGUCUCUUUGUUUUUAUCUCCAUUUUUAUUGCAUUGUGGUUUGCGAAUAUGGCCUGUGUGAUAUCACUUUGAAAGAUUUAUUAUUUCCUUUGUGACCUAGUGCAAGAAUUUCUCAGAAUGUUACAUUUUAUGUGUAAAACAUGUACAUUCUCUGUUGAGUACAGAAUAAAGAUUGAAAGUAGAUAUAUAAAAUA